GCUCCCACUCCUAAAAGUGUUCGAUAAAAGUCAAUUCUUAUCUUGCCGACUUCAUUAGAGAAGAAAGGUUCAUUAUAUGAGAUGAGGCUCCAAUGAUGAACAAAUUUUGUUUUGAAACGUUGGAUAGGAGGAUUUGCAAGAUAUUCUGAAGUGUGAUCGGAUUUUUUGGAGGUCUUACAUUCUUGGAGUGUCAGAGAGUUCUUUACAAAAUGAGUUCUGCUUCUUGUGGAUGUAAAGGGUGACACAAUUGAAGCAUCUUUUUUAUCAAUCCAACUCUGCAUGAGAGGAAUACUCACCAUUCUUAUCAGAUUAAAUUUACGGAUGCUACCACAAUUAUGGUGCUAAGAAGAACAAUAAUGGCUCAGAAAAGAACAUCAACAACAUUAGAGAGUGAAGAGACCAAAUUCAUUUUCUUCUUUCUCCAAUACAGUUUCAAAUAUAUUUUCUGAAGUUUAUGCAGCAAAACAAUGUGGAGUUUAACCUUCGAAUACAGUUUCAAAUAUAUUUUCUGGAGUUUAUGCAGCAAAGCAGUAAGCAAUACCAUAUUUUAAGAUAAUUUCUUGAUUCUUUCAAAGAUUUACAUUUGUUGGAAUCAUGUGUAAUAUACUAAUGUGACAAAGUCCCACAUCGGAAGAAACAAAUUUUUCUUUUUUGUAGAAAUAAGUUAAGCUACUAUGUUCGUACGUUGAGCUUAGUAAUGUUUGCUUGUGAUCCGAGUGGAGACAAUAAAUGUGAUGGAACAUUGGGUUCGGGUUUGGCUUUCUACUAGCCUGCCCAUUCCAAGUCGGGAGUUGCGAUUCCGGUCCCAGAGGAGAAUGCGUGAGUAUAGGCCGGUGCCAUCACCUUUUUUGCAACUAAAUCACAUACAUACAAAUAGAACUUUCAUUUAUUGUUUAAGAAUCAAGCUAAGUUGUAUGUAACCAAACCAUAUAUAUGCAGUGGUGAAGAACGAAAUGACCAUUAUUUUAUUACCUUUGAAUCUCUAGUGUACGAAUAUAUACAAUGAUGAAGAACUUGAAUGAAGGUAAGAACAUCUUCAUUUCCAGUGACGAUCUCGUUGCCUGCAUCCUUCUCCGGCAAUCCCCAAUCGAAGAAGUAGAGCAAAUUCAACAAUGCCAACUCAACAAGCAUGAUUCCUAUUGUCAUCCCUGGACAUAUUAUCCUACCAGAUCCAAACACUAUGAGCUCAAAGUUUAGUCCUCUCUAAUCUAUGGAACUGUCGAGAAACCUGUUAGGGUUAAACUCAUAUGGGUACUCCUAGAGUUUUGGAUCACGAGGAAUCUCAUAGGCAUUGAUAAUGAUCUGUUUUUCGCAGGAAUAUCGUAGCAUUCGAUCUUUACAUGAGACAAUGUCUCUCUUGGAAGCAAGAGUGCAGCUGAUGGAUGUAACCUGAAUAUCUCCCUGACCAUGAGCUUGAAGUAGUGAAGUUGAUUUAGAUCUUAUUAUGUGAUU